AUUGAACGCUGGCGGCAUGCGUAACACAUGCAAGUCGAACGGUGUUUGGUGCUUGCACCAGACAUAGUGGCGGACGGGUGAGUAAUGCGUAGGAAUCUGUCUUAGAGAGGGGGACAACCCGAGGAAACUUGGGCUAAAACCGCAUAUUCUCGAGAGAGGAAAGCAGGGGACCGGAAACGGCCUUGUGCUCUAAGGUGAGCCUACGUCGGAUUAGCUAGUUGGUAGGGUAAAAGCCUACCAAGGCGAUGAUCUGUAGCUGGUCUGAGAGGACGGACAGCCACACUGGGACUGAGACACGGCCCAGACUCCUACGGGAGGCAGCAGUGGGGAAUAUUGGACAAUGGGGGAACCCUGAUCCAGCGAUGCCGCGUGUGUGAAGAAGGCCUGCGGGUUGUAAAGCACUUUCAGUGGGAAAGAGAAGCGUCUUGUGAAUAAUGGGACGUGGAGACGUUACUCACAGAAGAAGCACCGGCUAAACUCUGUGCCAGCAG
rnacentral:rRNA from 1 species